GCCCUUGUAGCUCAGUGGAUAGAGCACCAGUUUCCUAAACUGUUGGUCGGCAGUUCGAGUCUGCCCGAGGGCACCA
rnacentral:tRNA from 1 species